CGGGGUGUAGCUCAGCUUGGUAGAGCACCUGCUUUGGGAGCAGGGGGUCGCAGGUUCGAAUCCUGUCGCCCCGA
rnacentral:tRNA from 1 species